UGGGGAAUCUUCCGCAAUGGACGAAAGUCUGACGGAGCAACGCCGCGUGUAUGAUGAAGGUCUUCGGAUUGUAAAGUACUGUCAUUGGGGAAGAACGGUUUUCUUGAGAAUAUUGAGAAGACAUGACGGUACCCAAGGAGGAAGCCCCGGCUAACUACGUGCCAGCAGCCGCGGUAAUACGUAGGGGGCAAGCGUUGUCCGGAAUUAUUGGGCGUAAAGGGCGCGUAGGCGGGCCUUUAAGUCCGGUGUGAAAGAUCAGGGCUCAACCCUGAGAGUGCAUCGGAAACUGGAGGCCUUGAGGACAGGAGAGGAAAGUGGAAUUCCACGUGUAGCGGUGAAAUGCGUAGAUAUGUGGAGGAACACCAGUGGCGAAGGCGACUUUCUGGACUGU
rnacentral:rRNA from 1 species